GAUGAACGCUGGCGGCGUGCCUAAUACAUGCAAGUCGAGCGAACAGAUAAGGAGCUUGCUCCUUUGAAGUUAGCGGCGGACGGGUGAGUAACACGUGGGUAACCUACCUAUAAGACUGGGAUAACUUCGGGAAACCGGAGCUAAUACCGGAUAACAUUUAGAACCGCAUGGUUCUAAAGUGAAAGAUGGUUUUGCUAUCACUUAUAGAUGGACCCGCGCCGUAUUAGCUAGUUGGUAAGGUAACGGCUUACCAAGGCGACGAUACGUAGCCGACCUGAGAGGGUGAUCGGCCACACCGGAACUGAGACACGGUCCAGACUCCUACGGGAGGCAGCAGUAGGGAAUCUUCCGCAAUGGGCGAAAGCCUGACGGAGCAACGCCGCGUGAGUGAUGAAGGGGUUCGGCUCGUAAAACUCUGUUAUUAGGGAAGAACAAAUGUGUAAGUAACUGUGCACAUCUUGACGGUACCUAAUCAGAAAGCCACGGCUAACUACGUG
rnacentral:rRNA from 1 species